UUGGGGGGGAAUUUGGACACAGCUUUAGUUUAGAUAAUUGGUUUCCUGUUUUAUUUUGAAAAGGUUUGUACUAUUUUCGUCUCACUUCCUGUCUGUCCUCUCUUGGCCUAAGUGCACACUUGAAUCUCAUUUUCUAAUCAGUCCCUGUAGUUUUGGGGCUCUCUGUCUGUCUUUUCAUCCCACUGAUAGUUUGUUUUCUGAUUGUUUAGCCUCUUAUGUUAGUGGAAUUCAGAUUUUUUUUCUUUAUGCUCAUGAGUCAUGACCAGAGAGUUCUCUGUUUGGGCCUUCGGACAACACCAAUAUUCCACCUUUUUGGUUGAUGACAGACAGCAACUUGGAGAGAGACAAAACAGGAUAAGUUUGGCGCAGCGUUCCCUGAGGUUCCCAUUGAUGGACUACUUUGUGUUUGAUUUCUGGAGGCUGCGGGGCAUCAAGGGGAGCAGCCUGUCUGCCUCUCAGAUGCCACUUGGGAGCCCCUGUGGAGACCAACAGAGAGCCCCGCGGGCUCCUAAAAUAUGCCACUCUUGAUUUCAGAGUUUCGCCGUACUUGCCAGCUGUAUCAGAGCACAAACAUAUUGCAAUGUGCUUUAUUGUAGCGCUCAGAUUAAGCCGCUCUCUCUUCCUCGCCUUGCACGGCUUUCAUAAUGGAGCCAGAGAGGCGAAGAGAUGCUGAACAGAGGAUUUAAGAUGUCAAAUUCGGCUUCAAAUCAUUCCUGAAGACGAAUCUUAGCUUCAUUUGACAGAAAUCGUCAGUAAUAUUGAUCCCUACCUGCUGUUUGCAUGUUCACUUACAUGUGAUUUCAAGCUAUUCUGUAUAAUAAAUACUUGAACAUC